CCCAGGGACACAAUACACUGCGGAAGGCCACAGGGACCUCUGCCCAGGAAAGCCAGGCUUGCAUUAAGGAAAUGAUUUCCUAUGAUUCUGCUUACUGCUUAAAAAAAUUAAUCAAGUUUUCUGCCUGACAAGGGUCACUCUAAGCUCCAGUGUCAAGGAGUCAAGUCCUUCGGGAAUUCUCUGCCUCCACUCCCUGUGGCAGAGCUAGAGUGGCUGCUAUGCUUCUGAGCUCAGCCAGCAUCCAGGCAGAGAGUGAGAUACAGCCUCCUCUUCUUGAAGCACGCACUUCUAAACUCUAUGACAGUUUUCUUGGAACUCUGUUAUGUGGGUCUGGAGAUGACAAUGUCACAGCACUCCCCUCUAAGCCUAAAUUCCCCCACAUCGAUGAACUAUUGGG
rnacentral:lncRNA from 1 species